UUUUUGAUAUUUAUACAUACUUAUAAAAAAAGGUUAAUCUUAAACUUUUAAAUAAAAAAUAAAAUUGAGGAAAGAAAAUCCGUAUUCCUGUAAGUAAAAGUAGCUAAAUAGUGGCGUGCCGUAAUGUUAUACGACGGAAUGCAGGGCCAGUCAAUGAAUCUUGAUAUAAACGUUGAAAAUGUGUUGUUAGCAGUAUAUAGAAAAAGAUUGAGAAAUAAAAUUGUGCGAACUCAAUUAUUUAAUCAUAGUAUUAAGACUAGGCUAGGCUAAAUACGUAGUUGUUGAUUUCGUUCCGAAUAAAUUUAUUUCAGAUUCUUGUUUAUUUUCAAUUAAUGUUUAUAUUAUUGUGGAGUGAGUAUGAUAAAAGUUAAUUACUGAACAUCACUGAGUUUUACAAACUUUGAAAAUAGUGACAUACACACCUAGUGUCAAAAUGGGUGAACCAUCAAGUAGUAAUAGUAUAAGCAAUGAUUGCUGAUUGUUUGUAACAAAAUCGGAUAUAGUUAUGAAUUAAGCUCUGAAAUAGGAGAUAUUAUAAAAGUUAGUAACGGUAUAUCAACAUUAACAGUUGCUUCUGCGGAAAAAACGGAUGGACUUUCUCACUAUCUAUAUACUCACAAAUUUGUCUACGUGCAUUCGAUAUACAAACAAGAAUAUGUCAAUAAGGGAUGCAAUAAUUCUUAUAAAAAAAGAACACCACAUCUCUCCACCUAAAAGGAAUUCAAACGGCUACAUGAACUGAUUUUGACUGGAAAAGUAGGUGCUUUUUAAAUGAAAAAGAAGCGGAUGAAAUGAAGGAAAGAAAAAAGUUCACAUCGUCAAGACAACAAAUCAGCUACAUCAGAACUUUUUAUUUUAAGAGAAGUGUUUUAAGUUUGACAUGUGAAGACAAAGGUGAAUAUUGUCCAAAUAUUCAUAAAAGAAUUGUAGUCGUGUUAGAUUUACUUGUUCAGGAAGCUAAGUAUCAUGCGUUUAAGAACUACCCUAAAACAGGAACAGGAGGGGGAAAAAUCAUCCAGUAACAAAACAAGAUGAUGCAGAUGUGCAAGAGUAACAAAACAAGAUGAUGCAUUUUCAAAUAUACCUAUUGAAGAAAAUGAUAACGGUCAGUUUUUGCUGGUAGAAUUAAAACAGUUGACCAUAUCCUUGAUGAUAAAAAAAUAAAAAUAAGGUUAAUCAACCAUCAUGAGGGUAAUAUUGAAUUCUUCACUAAAUUUCAAACAUGGCUCGGAAGAAUAAUAUCAAUUAAAGAAUGGGGUUGAAAAUAUGAAUGCAGAGUAUAGAUAUCGCAAAAAAUUACGCAACGACAAGCUCCAAAAUAUUUACUAAAAAUAAUUUUUGAUAAUAGAUGUGAAUCAUCUUGUAGGUGUGGGAAAAGUGGAUCAAACUACAAUUCAGGCUUCGUCAAAGAGUUCGACGACGACGACUAUGAUGUAAUAAUGUGUAUAGUUAAUGAUAUAUAUAUAUAUAUAUAUAUAUCAUUAUUUUUAAUAAUAAACAUUGAAGUUAUCCAGUGAAUAUAUAUAAUUUCAUAUUUUUUU